UACAGAGGGGGGCAAGCGUUAUUCGGAAUUAUUGGGCGUAAAGGGCGCGUAGGCGGCUUUGCAAGUGACGGGUGAAAUCCCUCGGCUUAACCGAGGAACUGCCUGUCAAACUGCAUGGCUUGAGACCGGGAGAGGUGAGUGGAAUUCCCAGUGUAGCGGUGAAAUGCGUAGAUAUUGGGAGGAACACCAGUGGCGAAGGCGGCAUCCUGGACCGGUAUUGACGCUGAGGCGCGAAAGCUAGGGUAGCAAACGGG
rnacentral:rRNA from 1 species